GAUGAACGCUGACAGAAUGCUUAACACAUGCAAGUCGAUUCGAUUUACCUUCGGGUAUUGAGGAUGGCGGACGGGUGAGUAACGCGUAAGGAACUUGCCUCUUGGUCUGGGACAACUGUUGGAAACGACAGCUAAUACCAGAUAUUAUGAGAUUCUCGCAUGAGAAACUUAUGAAAGCUAUAUGCGCCAAGAGAGAGCCUUGCGUUCCAUUAGCUAGUUGGUGGGGUAACGGCCCACCAAGGCGACGAUGGAUAGCCGGCCUGAGAGGGUGAACGGCCACAAGGGGACUGAGACACGGCCCUUACUCCUACGGGAGGCAGCAGUGGGGAAUAUUGGACAAUGGGCCACAAGCCUGAUCCAGCAAUUCUGUGUGCACGAUGAAGGUCUUCGGAUUGUAAAGUGCUUUCAGUUGGGAAGAAGAAAGUGACGGUACCAACAGAAGAAGCGACGGCUAAAUACGUGCCAGCAGCCGCGGUAAUACGUAUGUCGCAAGCGUUAUCCGGAUUUAUUGGGCGUAAAGCGCGUCUAGGCGGAAAAAUAAGUCUGAUGUUAAAAUGCGGGGCUCAACUCCGUAUUGCGUUGGAAACUGUUUUUCUAGAGUACUGGAGAGGUGGGCGGAACUACAAGUGUAGAGGUGAAAUUCGUAGAUAUUUGUAGGAAUGCCGAUGGAGAAGUCAGCUCACUGGACAGAUACUGACGCUAAAGCGCGAAAGCNUGGGGAGCAAACAGGAUUAGAUACCCUGG
rnacentral:rRNA from 1 species